rnacentral:rRNA from 1 species
CCUACGGGGGGCAGCAGUGGGGAAUAUUGGACAAUGGGCGCAAGCCUGAUCCAGCCAUGCCGCGUGUGUGAAGAAGGCCUUUUGGUUGUAAAGCACUUUAAGCGAGGAGGAGGGUACUCUGGCUAAUACCUAGAUGUAUCGGACGUUACUCGCAGAAUAAGCACCGGCUAACUCUGUGCCAGCAGCCGCGGUAAUACAGAGGGUGCGAGCGUUAAUCGGAAUUACUGGGCGUAAAGCGCGCGUAGGCGGUUAUGUAAGUUGGAUGUGAAAUCCCCGGGCUUAACCUGGGCACUGCAUUCAAAACUGCAUAGCUAGAGUAUGGGAGAGGAUGGUAGAAUUCCAGGUGUAGCGGUGAAAUGCGUAGAGAUCUGGAGGAAUACCGAUGGCGAAGGCAGCCAUCUGGCCUAAUACUGACGCUGAGGUGCGAAAGCAUGGGGAGCAAACAGGAUUAGAUACCCCUGUAGUC